rnacentral:tRNA from 1 species
GGAUCGUUAGCUCAGUUGGUAGAGCAGCUGACUCUUAAUCAGCGGGUCAUAGGUUCGAGUCCUAUACGGUCCACCA